AUUUUGCGUUAGGGAUAGCAGUGAAAAUCCUUUUGUGAGGUACGAGCAAAAGAUUGCAACGAAUAGCCCGACCCUUG
rnacentral:sRNA from 1 species